GCCAGGCGUGGUGGCUCACGCCUGUAAUCCCAGCGCUUUGGGAGGCCGAGACAGGUGGAUUACCUGAGGUCAGGAGUUCGAGACCAGCCUGGCCAACAUGGUAAAACCCCGUCUCUA
rnacentral:SRP_RNA from 1 species